CGCGAGAUCGCACGGAAGAAGGUU
rnacentral:miRNA from 1 species